rnacentral:lncRNA from 1 species
AAUGCACAUGUGGGUACCGUAUAGCAUGAAGAAAGGAACAAGAAAACCUAAAUACUAGGCCACGGGGAAGGCCUGAGCUGAGGUGAUAGACAUAUGUUAUGAAUGAGGAUAGAAAGAUAAUUGCUUUUCUAGGUUCUAAUUCUGUCAUGGAGUUUCUACUCUGGGUGGCAGAUAAGAGCAUAAAUACUGAUAAUGUAAAAAAUUAGUGCGAGACCUCACAGUUUCCGUUCCAAAUGUCAAUUCUAACUGUAUAAAGGUUCACUGGGUUGAGUUGGCUUUGGGUCUGGCUAGUUUGACUGUGACGAUGUUUUCUAUUUAUUUGCAAGGUUUUUUGUUUUUGUUUUUUUAAAGUAAAGUUUAUAAAAUUAAAAACAAAACACAAAACUACGGGCACUUGUAAAAGAAAAUAAGUAAACAAACAAACGCUCCCAGGAAGCAAGGAAAUGGAACCAGUGCCAUUUGGAGUAGGCUCCAGUAUCUGCAGUCAAGAGUGAUCCGGAAAACCACAGCGGUGUGUGUGACGUCAUGAGGACAGCAGCAGCCAAUUAGAUAUGUAAUCAGCAUGUCUCUUCCUUGAGCUACUGUCUAAUGUCAACUAUGAAGUUUCGUCGCCCAGGGGCACUUGGGUCAUGUUAUUUCAGGGUCAUGGUGAGAAGACUGCUGAUGCGGCCCUCCCUCGAUCGUCCUGCCUGUAUAACACAGUGGCUCUUUGAGUAGGACCGGGAUGGUAGUAAGUGCCCGGAGAUUUUUCCACCAGCAUUUUUUCCUCUAGACCACCAGAACAGAGUGGAAACGGAGACCCAUUGGUUUCAAUUAACUGCGAUGAGAAAUUGCAUUCAUGGCUGGCUUUGCCAUUCAUUUUUGCACCAAGAACUUUAUGGAGUGGGAAUGGCAGAACUCAUCUGGCAGGGCUUUCAAAUGCAGACGGCCAGUCCCCAAAUCCCCUAGGUGUGAGGGCUGCGUUCUCCCCAGCCAUGUUCUUUUCAAUAAACAUUCCCACACUUGGCCCUUUCCUCAAGCCGCCCUGUCCGUG